GAAACGACUGCUAAUACCGCAUAAGCCCACAGCUCGGCAUCGAGCAGAGGGAAAAGGAGCAAUCCGCUUUGAGAUGGCCUCGCGUCCGAUUAGCUAGUUGGUGAGGUAACGGCCCACCAAGGCAACGAUCGGUAGCCGGACUGAGAGGUUGAACGGCCACAUUGGGACUGAGACACGGCCCAGACUCCUACGGGAGGCAGCAGUGGGGAAUAUUGCACAAUGGGGGAAACCCUGAUGCAGCGACGCCGCGUGGAGGAAGAAGGUCUUCGGAUUGUAAACUCCUGUUGUUGAGGAAGAUAAUGACGGUACUCAACAAGGAAGUGACGGCUAACUACGUGCCAGCAGCCGCGGUAAAACGUAGGUCACAAGCGUUGUCCGGAAUUACUGGGUGUAAAGGGAGCGCAGGCGGGAGAGCAAGUUGGAAGUGAAAUCCGUGGGCUCAACCCAUGAACUGCUUUCAAAACUGUUUUUCUUGAGUAGUGCAGAGGUAGGCGGAAUUCCCGGUGUAGCGGUGGAAUGCGUAGAUAUCGGGAGGAACACCAGUGGCGAAGGCGGCCUACUGGGCACCAACUGACGCUGAGGCUCGAAAGUGUGGGUAGCAAACAGGAUUAGAUACCCUGGUAGUCCACACCGUAAACGAUGAUUACUAGGUGUUGGAGGAUUGACCCCUUCAGUG
rnacentral:rRNA from 1 species